rnacentral:rRNA from 1 species
GAUGAACGCUGGCGGCGUGCCUAAUACAUGCAAGUCGAACGCUGGAGAUCUAGCUUGCUAGAUCGAAGGAGUGGCGAACGGGUGAGUAAUACAUAAGCAACCUACCCACGAAGACUGGGAUAAUCUCUGGAAACGGGGACUAAUACCGGAUAGGUAAUCGGAAGGCAUCUUCUGGUUAUUAAAGGUUAAAAACACUGGUGGAUGGGCUUAUGGCGCAUUAGUUAGUUGGUGAGGUAACGGCCCACCAAGACGAUGAUGCGUAGCCGGCCUGAGAGGGUGAACGGCCACAUUGGGACUGAGACACGGCCCAGACUCCUACGGGAGGCAGCAGUAGGGAAUUUGCGGCAAUGGGGGCAACCCUGACCGAGCAACGCCGCGUGAGUGAAGACGGCCUUCGGGGUGUAAAGCUCUGUUGUAAGGGAAGAACGGUAGAUAGAGAAUAUCUAAGUGACGGUACCUUACCAGAAAGCCACGGCUAACUACGUG